ACCCCACAGAUAUGUAUUUUGCAGGUUGAAUAUUGUGAUUAUUGUCCCGAGUCGAAGCAGCCUGACAUUCAGAUUCAAAAUGAUGAUACUACGGAUUCAGCCAUCAGUUUCGAUUCUGAAAAGAUGAUUGAAAUCAUUGGAGAGAUAAAUCAAUGGCUUGAGAAGCUUGGCAAAUAAGUUGGAAAACAUAGACGAAAAUAGUCCUGCGAAAUGGCUUCCGACGUCUGUUCCUCCACCAGAGACUCUAACUGAGUCCAUGGAGUUCUUAGCAAGAUCAUGGAGUAUCUCAGCAACAGACUCAGCAAAGCUCUCCUCCGAGAAGACACUGUUUGAGUUUCUUAGUGAUGAACUGAAUCUAAAUAUGACAAAUACCUUGCUGUGAAAUGACUAUGCAACUAAUCAUCUUAUACAACUCCAGUAUAUGUAAGACAUUUUAUAUAGCUCAUGUAAUUGUUUUUUUAAUGAAUUUUGUUUUCAUUUUUUGCAGGAAGUCGAAUUACCGCUAUGUGGGCAUAGUCCUCCAGAUUCUCCAAGAAGGAGUGACAACACCAAGUUUUUUCAGGGGAGUCAAUUAUCAUUGAAAGUGCAUCCCAAGUGUAGUGGGCCUUUGAAUAUUGGGAAGCUCACUACAGAGGCCUAAAGUUCUCUUUCACCCACAAGAGAGGUUAAAAAGUAUCUAUGCAACACCGAGACAGAUAAGGAUCGAAAAAAUGAGAAAAAAGGGAAUAUCAGUGUAAUGCAAGUAAAAUCAUUAGCGAGGUUUUUUAGAACACCUUAUUUACCUAGAGGACAUUUUUAGUUACUUUGGAAUGACAUUAGGACAAGUAUGUUUCUACACUUUCUUGAUUCCAUUGAUUAUAUGUUUUUAUACUAUGUAUAUAAGUAUAAACUUAGCUUAUUGAAAUUUUAUCGAUUUGUUGUUUUUUUUUU